CUGGAGGAUAAAGUGAACAAAUCUUGGCAAGUGAACUUGAUUGCUUUUAUGUGAUAUAAUUACAGAGUGAACUGAAGGAAGGGAAGAGAGCAGCUGUACUUGGGUAUGUGCUGGGAUCUGAGUAAAGGAACUUGGUACUGUGCCUCCUAAAGAAACGGCACGUUCACGUUUUCCAGCUAGGCUAUAGCUAAUUCUGUUAGAAGGUGAUUUUGUUCCUGUGAGAAGCCCACCAGAGGCACAUGGAAAAGGACAAUCUUUGUAGGAGAAAUCCACCCUUCUGCAACAGGAGCAUCCCCUAAUGCCUCACCUCCCCUAAGCUUUUGGUGAUGGGUAGAGCCUUUAACCCCACAUCUGACUUAAAAACUCCUGCUGUUUUCACACUGACUGAAAUUAAAGGCUUCUUAAGGGAAAACAUGGAUCAGCUACUAUGAAUCAACAGGGCUCCAUGGAAGUAAAUGGAUUCCUGCUGUUUGACCACAGGCGGAUAAUCCACCCGGUUCUGAUACGCGCUGGCUUUGCCACGUAUGUUUUCAUUUGUAGUCCAUCCAGGAUGGUUUAUGUAACCUCUUAGGAUCCACCCCCUGAUCUCCAAAUAGCUUCCAAAAGCCAAAGGUGCUGUUUGUGUUGUGAGAUUGAUAUCUUGCUGGCAGCGUGAUGCAGGUUUCCGGCAGCAGGGGGAAGCACCUGCCAUGGCAAAGGGACAAGAAUUGGGUGCGACAGGAAUGCCACCAGCUCCAUGCAAUCCCAGGGCUGGAACUUUGUGUGCUGAAAUCCAAGAGGUGACAAAUGAAGAUGAAACAUCUGAGAAGCCUAAAAAGCAAUGGAUGAAGCAGGACACAGGAAUAUCUGGUGACACCAGGAAUAGAAGAUCAGUUUCAGAAUGAAACAUGUGGGGGCUGAAAAGCAUCCAGCGACAUCUCAUUCGACUUGGACUCGUUCUAAGGUCAGAAUCAAGUAAUUGUUUUAUAAAACUCAAAUUUGCUAGAAGGGCUUAAUGCAUUUUUUAGAAGGGCUGAGUAAUAAAGUAAUUGUAGAUUUAUUGCUGCUGUUAACACCAGGAGAAAGAUACAUCGUUCCACUUGGGACCACUUAAGCAUAUAGUGUUUGAAAGGACAGAGCUUAGUUCAUAAUCACGGAAGUGUUUAUUCACCUCCCUUUUGCUUUGUUUCAUGUAUACUUUGAGGAAGAAAUGGAAGUGUGGCUUUGCGAUGCCUUACCCAUGGUCUUUAGGGACAGAAAUCUGGCUUGGCUUUCCCUGGUUGCCCAGAGCCUUUGUGGCAACCCCAAGUAAAUGACCUAUUCCCAUGGUGCUUGAGUCCAUGUUUUUCUCUCCAGUGUAAAGGGAAGCUCUGAAUUCCUUCAUACAGUGAGCAAGCAGCUGAAAUAAUAUUGCCUCACAAGCCCUUAUGUAUUUUUUAUUACUCAGAGAGUAAAAUAUUGGAAUGACUUCCGACAGAAAGAGAAGAGCAAGGGAAAUCACCCAGGAGAAACGGGUUUAUCUCAGAGCCUUUCAUUGGAUGGUGUAAAACACCUUUAUGGUGAAAAGAAAAGAUGAUUUAUGCUGCUCUUAUGAUCACCUGUACUGUAAAGCAAUGCCUCCUGCAAAAAGCUUUCCCACUCCCAUGUUUACCUGCCAUCAGAGGAAGGUGGUGCUGAACCCAGCACACUCAUAGCAAACCCGAGCCUCAUUUUUUCCAGGGACUGAGCUGGAGUCCCAUGCACACCAUAGGAUGUGCCAGGGAUGAGGGACAGAAGCAGCUCGUGCUGUGCCCAGGAUGGUCCCCUCCUUUGCUCCAUUGCAGAGACAAGACCUCUAACAAAGUUGUUCUCUUGGAUUGAGUUUUGUAACCCUCAUCCUUAUGAAUGGGAUUUGCUUCUGGCAACAGUUUAUUACAUGAUUUGAUUUCCUGGACAAUUCUAGAGAUACUGUAAUUUAGCAAAUGAUUCUUGCAAAAGAGCCACUUAGCUUU
rnacentral:lncRNA from 1 species